rnacentral:ncRNA from 1 species
AUAGUUUUAUUUUUGUUAAAAAAUUUGAUUUAAUAAAAUUUUACAUAUAAAAUUUUUAGUUUAAUAAAAAAAAUUUAAAUAAUUUUUUUUAUUUUAUUAUUAUAAAAAAUUAAAUAGUAGUAAUUAAUAUUAUUAUUUUAAUGAAAGUUAAAAUGUAGUUAUUGUUAAAAAUAUUGAUUAAAUUUGUGCCAGCAAUCGCGGUUAUACAAAUAUUAUAAUUAAAUUUAUUUUUAAUUAAAGUUAAAAUAAUAUUUAAAAUAAAUUAAAAUAAUAAUAAAUUUUUAAGUGAAAUUAAAAAUUUUAUUAGAUUUUAAAUUUUAAAAUUUUUUGAGGCUUAAAAAAUUUAAAUAAAAACUAGGAUUAGAUACCCUAUUAUUUAAAAAGUAAAAAAUAAUAAAAUUAAGGUAGUAAAAAUUAAUUUUUUAAAACUUAAAAAAUUUGGCGGUAUUUUAUUCUGUUUAGAGGAAUUUGUUCUAUAAUCGAUAAUCCACGAAUAUUUUACUUUUUUUUGUUUUCAGUUUAUAUAUCGUUGUCAUCAGAAUAUUUUAAAAGAAUAAAAAAUUUUCUAAAUUUUAAAUUAAAAUUUAUGUCAAAUCAAGGUAUAAUUAAUAAAAAAGAAGAAAUGAGUUACAAUAAAAAUUAUUUAUAUGGAUAAAAAAAUUAAAUUUUAAUUAGAAGGUGGAUUUAAAAGUAAAUUAGUUUAUAAAAAUUAAUUGAUUAUGGUUUUAAAAUAUGCACAUAUCGCCCGUCGCUCUCGUUAUUUUUAAAACGAGAUAAGUCGUAACAUAGUAGAUAUAUUGGAAAAUGUAUCUAGAAAUA